UUACGACUAUAUCACGUUGAAACACCGGUUUCUCGUACGAUCACCGAAGGUAAGCAACGCUGAACCUGGUCAGUAUCUAGAUGGGUGACCACUUCGUAAUAGUAAGUGUUGUAA